UGGGGAAUUGUUCACAAUGGGCGCAAGCCUGAUGACGCAACGCCGCGUGGGGGAUGAAGGUCUUCAGAUUGUAAACCCCUGUCGAAUGGGACGAAUGGCCUCUGGGCUAAUCACCGGAGGAAUGACGGUACCGUUAAAGGAAGCCACGGCUAACUCUGUGCCAGCAGCCGCGGUAAUACAGAGGUGGCAAGCGUUGUUCGGAAUUACUGGGCGUAAAGGGCGCGUAGGCGGCCAUCUAAGUCAGACGUGAAAUCCCCCGGCUUAACCUGGGAACUGCGUCUGAUACUGGACGGCUUGAGUAUGGGAGAGGGAUGUAGAAUUCCAGGUGUAGCGGUGAAAUGCGUAGAUAUCUGGAGGAAUACCGGUGGCGAAGGCGGCAUCCUGGACCAUUACUGACGCUGAGGCGCGAAAGCUAGGGGAGCAAACGGGAUUAGAUACCCCGGUAGUCCUAGCCCUAAACGAUGAAUACUUGGUGUGGCGGGUAUCGAUCCCUGCCGUGCCGAAGCUAACGCAUUAAGUAUUCCGCCUGGGGAGUACGGUCGCAAGGCUGA
rnacentral:rRNA from 1 species